GCGAUAAGCGUCGGUGAGGUGAUAUGAACCGUUAUAACCGGCGAUUUCCGAAUGGGGAAACCCAGUGUGUUUCGACACACUAUCAUUAACUGAAUCCAUAGGUUAAUGAGGCGAACCGGGGGAACUGAAACAUCUAAGUACCCCGAGGAAAAGAAAUCAACCGAGAUUCCCCCAGUAGCGGCGAGCGAACGGGGAGGAGCCCAGAGCCUGAAUCAGUGUGUGUGUUAGUGGAAGCGUCUGGAAAGGCGCGCGAUACAGGGUGACAGCCCCGUACACAAAAAUGCACAUACUGUGAGCUCGAUGAGUAGGGCGGGACACGUGGUAUCCUGUCUGAAUAUGGGGGGACCAUCCUCCAAGGCUAAAUACUCCUGACUGACCGAUAGUGAACCAGUACCGUGAGGGAAAGGCGAAAAGAACCCCGGCGAGGGGAGUGAAAAAGAACCUGAAACCGUGUACGUACAAGCAGUGGGAGCCUCUUAAUGGGGUGACUGCGUACCUUUUGUAUAAUGGGUCAGCGACUUAUAUUCUGUAGCAAGGUUAACCGAAUAGGGGAGCCGAAGGGAAACCGAGUCUUAACUGGGCGUUAAGUUGCAGGGUAUAGACCCGAAACCCGGUGAUCUAGCCAUGGGCAGGUUGAAGGUUGGGUAACACUAACUGGAGGACCGAACCGACUAAUGUUGAAAAAUUAGCGGAUGACUUGUGGCUGGGGGUGAAAGGCCAAUCAAACCGGGAGAUAGCUGGUUCUCCCCGAAAGCUAUUUAGGUAGCGCCUCGUGAAUUCAUCUCCGGGGGUAGAGCACUGUUUCGGCAAGGGGGUCAUCCCGACUUACCAACCCGAUGCAAACUGCGAAUACCGGAGAAUGUUAUCACGGGAGACACACGGCGGGUGCUAACGUCCGUCGUGAAGAGGGAAACAACCCAGACCGCCAGCUAAGGUCCCAAAGUCAUGGUUAAGUGGGAAACGAUGUGGGAAGGCCCAGACAGCCAGGAUGUUGGCUUAGAAGCAGCCAUCAUUUAAAGAAAGCGUAAUAGCUCACUGGUCGAGUCGGCCUGCGCGGAAGAUGUAACGGGGCUAAACCAUGCACCGAAGCUGCGGCAGCGACACUAUGUGUUGUUGGGUAGGGGAGCGUUCUGUAAGCCUGUGAAGGUGGCCUGUGAGGGUUGCUGGAGGUAUCAGAAGUGCGAAUGCUGACAUAAGUAACGAUAAAGCGGGUGAAAAGCCCGCUCGCCGGAAGACCAAGGGUUCCUGUCCAACGUUAAUCGGGGCAGGGUGAGUCGACCCCUAAGGCGAGGCCGAAAGGCGUAGUCGAUGGGAAACAGGUUAAUAUUCCUGUACUUGGUGUUACUGCGAAGGGGGGACGGAGAAGGCUAUGUUGGCCGGGCGACGGUUGUCCCGGUUUAAGCGUGUAGGCUGGUUUUCCAGGCAAAUCCGGAAAACCAAGGCUGAGGCGUGAUGACGAGGCACUACGGUGCUGAAGCGACAAAUGCCCUGCUUCCAGGAAAAGCCUCUAAGCAUCAGGUAACAUCAAAUCGUACCCCAAACCGACACAGGUGGUCAGGUAGAGAAUACCAAGGCGCUUGAGAGAACUCGGGUGAAGGAACUAGGCAAAAUGGUGCCGUAACUUCGGGAGAAGGCACGCUGAUAUGUAGGUGAAGCGACUUGCUCGUGGAGCUGAAAUCAGUCGAAGAUACCAGCUGGCUGCAACUGUUUAUUAAAAACACAGCACUGUGCAAACACGAAAGUGGACGUAUACGGUGUGACGCCUGCCCGGUGCCGGAAGGUUAAUUGAUGGGGUUAGCGGCAACGCGAAGCUCUUGAUCGAAGCCCCGGUAAACGGCGGCCGUAACUAUAACGGUCCUAAGGUAGCGAAAUUCCUUGUCGGGUAAGUUCCGACCUGCACGAAUGGCGUAAUGAUGGCCAGGCUGUCUCCACCCGAGACUCAGUGAAAUUGAACUCGCUGUGAAGAUGCAGUGUACCCGCGGCAAGACGGAAAGACCCCGUGAACCUUUACUAUAGCUUGACACUGAACAUUGAGCCUUGAUGUGUAGGAUAGGUGGGAGGCUUUGAAGUGUGGACGCCAGUCUGCAUGGAGCCGACCUUGAAAUACCACCCUUUAAUGUUUGAUGUUCUAACGUUGGCCCGUAAUCCGGGUUGCGGACAGUGUCUGGUGGGUAGUUUGACUGGGGCGGUCUCCUCCUAAAGAGUAACGGAGGAGCACGAAGGUUGGCUAAUCCUGGUCGGACAUCAGGAGGUUAGUGCAAUGGCAUAAGCCAGCUUGACUGCGAGCGUGACGGCGCGAGCAGGUGCGAAAGCAGGUCAUAGUGAUCCGGUGGUUCUGAAUGGAAGGGCCAUCGCUCAACGGAUAAAAGGUACUCCGGGGAUAACAGGCUGAUACCGCCCAAGAGUUCAUAUCGACGGCGGUGUUUGGCACCUCGAUGUCGGCUCAUCACAUCCUGGGGCUGAAGUAGGUCCCAAGGGUAUGGCUGUUCGCCAUUUAAAGUGGUACGCGAGCUGGGUUUAGAACGUCGUGAGACAGUUCGGUCCCUAUCUGCCGUGGGCGCUGGAGAACUGAGGGGGGCUGCUCCUAGUACGAGAGGACCGGAGUGGACGCAUCACUGGUGUUCGGGUUGUCAUGCCAAUGGCACUGCCCGGUAGCUAAAUGCGGAAGAGAUAAGUGCUGAAAGCAUCUAAGCACGAAACUUGCCCCGAGAUGAGUUCUCCCUGACUCCUUGAGGGUCCUGAAGGAACGUUGAAGACGACGACGUUGAUAGGCCGGGUGUGUAAGCGCAGCGAUGCGUUGAGCUAACCGGUACUAAUGAACCGUGAGGCUUAACCUU
rnacentral:rRNA from 1 species